rnacentral:rRNA from 1 species
UGCCCUAGUAACGGCGAGUGAAGCGGCAACAGCUCAAAUUUGAAAUCUGGCGUCUUUGGCGUCCGAGUUGUAAUUUGCAGAGGGCGCUUUGGCAUUGGCAGCGGUCCAAGUUCCUUGGAACAGGACGUCACAGAGGGUGAGAAUCCCGUACGUGGUCGCUAGCCUUUACCGUGUAAAGCCCCUUCGACGAGUCGAGUUGUUUGGGAAUGCAGCUCUAAAUGGGAGGUAAAUUUCUUCUAAAGCUAAAUACUGGCCAGAGACCGAUAGCGCACAAGUAGAGUGAUCGAAAGAUGAAAAGCACUUUGGAAAGAGAGUUAAAAAGCACGUGAAAUUGUUGAAAGGGAAGCGCUUGCAGCCAGACUUGCCUGUAGUUGCUCAUCCGGGUUUUUACCCGGUGCACUCUUCUAUAGGCAGGCCAGCAUCAGUUUGGGCGGUUGGAUAAAGGUCUCUGUCACGUACCUCCUCUCGGGGAGAACUUAUAGGGGAGACGUAAUGCAACCAGCCUGGACUGAGGUCCGCGCAUCUGCUAGGAUGCUGGCGUAAUGGCUGUAAGCGGCCCGUCUUGAAACACGGACCAAGGAGUCUAACAUCUAUGCGAGUGUUUGGGUGUCAAGCCCGAGCGCGUAAUGAAAGUGAACGGAGGUGGGAACCUUUCGGGGUGCACCAUCGACCGAUCCUGAUGUCUUCGGAUGGAUUUGAGUAAGAGCAUAGCUGUUGGGACCCGAAAGAUGGUGAACUAUGCUUGAAUAGGGUGAAGCCAGAGGAAACUCUGGUGGAGGCUCGCAGCGGUUCUGACGUGCAAAUCGAUCGUCAAAUUUGGGCAUAGGGGCGAAAGACUAAUCGAACUAUCUAGUAGCUGGUUCCUGCCGAAGUUUCCCUCAGGAUAGCAGUAACGUUUUCAGUUUUAUGAGGUAAAGCGAAUGAUUAGAGGCCUGGGGGUUGAAACAACCUUCACCUAUUCUCAAACUUUAAAUAUGUAAGAAGUCCUUGUUACUUAAUUGAACGUGGACAGUUGAAUGUAUCGUUACUAGUGGGCCAUUUUUGGUAAGCAGAACUGGCGAUGCGGGAUGAACCGAACGCGGGGUUAAGGUGCCAGAAUAUACGCUCAUCAGACACCACAAAAGGUGUUAGUUCAUCUAGACAGCAGGACGGUGGCCAUGGAAGUCGGAAUCCGCUAAGGAGUGUGUAACAACUCACCUGCCGAAUGAACUAGCCCUGAAAAUGGAUGGCGCUCAAGCGUAUUACCCAUACCCCGCCGCUGGGGCAAGACUUAAGCCCCAGCGAGUAGGCAGGCGUGGAGGUCCGUGACGAAGCC